AUUGAACGCUGGCGGCAGGCCUAACACAUGCAAGUCGAGCGAGCGGCGGAGGGGGGAGAAAUAUGUGGGGGACUGCCUGAGGGAGGGGGAGAACAAUUGGGAAAGGGAGCGAAUACAGCAUACGAUAGGAGAUGUCCAGAGGGGGUUAGCUAGUAGGUGGGGUAACGGCGCACCUAGGCGACGAUCCCUAGCGGGUCUGAGAGGAUGACCAGCCACACUGGAACUGAGACACGGUCCAGACUCCUACGGGAGGCAGCAGUGGGGAAUAUUGCACAAUGGGCGCAAGCCUGAUGCAGCCAUGCCGCGUGUGUGAAGAAGGCCUUCGGGUUGUAAAGUACUUUCAGCGGGGAGGCGUUACCCGCAGAAGAAGCACCGGCUAACUCCGUGCCAGCAGCCGCGGUAAUUC
rnacentral:rRNA from 1 species